UGGGGAAUUUUGGACAAUGGGGGCAACCCUGAUCCAGCAAUGCCGCGUGAGUGAAGAAGGCCUUCGGGUUGUAAAGCUCUUUUGUCAGGGAAGAAAAGGCUGUGGCUAAUAUCCACGGCUCAUGACGGUAACUGAAGAAUAAGCACCGGCUAACUCAGUGCCCGCAGCCGCGGUAAUACGUAGGGUGCAAGCGUUAAUCGGAAUUACUGGGCGUAAAGCGUGCGCAGGCGGUUUUGUAAGACUGUCGUGAAAUCCCCGGGCUUAACCUGGGAAUGGCGAUGGUGACUGCAAGGCUAGAGUUUGGCAGAGGGGGGUAGAAUUCCACGUGUAGCAGUGAAAUGCGUAGAUAUGUGGAGGAACACCGAUGGCGAAGGCAGCCCCCUGGGUCAAAACUGACGCUCAUGCACGAAAGCGUGGGGAGCAAAC
rnacentral:rRNA from 1 species